GGGGAUUUAGCUCAAUGGUAGAGCGCUUGCCUAGGAAGCGCAAGGCCCUGGGUUCGGUCCCCAGCUCCG
rfam:Rattus norvegicus chromosome 5, whole genome shotgun sequence.